ACACAAAUUCACGUGUUAAAAAAUUUAGUCAAUAAUGGUCAACAGUAAGCCAUUGAGAAACACUUUUCUCUCUCUUCCGUCAAAAAUCUCUUUUCUCUCUCACCGAGAUCUCAAGCUUCACCGACGACCACCGUCAUGCUCACACCAUCGACCACCGUCAAGUUUCACCGACGAAUUUCGCACCGUCAUUCAUCCUUCUCACCCUCCACCGUCACGCAUUCUCAUUCCGUCGAGCUUCUCACCGUCGAGCUUCACACUUCACCGAUCGAGCUUCACAGUCGCGGAUCCAUUGAACGUCAUCAUCCAAUUUCACAAUUGCAGAUCUAAUUUCACAAAUCCUUUUUCCUCUUUCGCUCACGCAGGUUAUUCGCAUGGUUGGUGAGGGUGGUGACAAUGUUGGUGCUGGAAGUAGUAAUAGCAAGAUGCCAACUUUGGAGGAAUAUGGCACCAAUUUGAUCAAGCUAGCGGAGGAGGGAAAAUUGGAUCCUGUUGUGGGUAGGCAGCCACAAAUUGAACGUGUUACUCAAAUCUUGGGCCGUCAUACCAAAAAUAAUCCUUGUCUUAUUGGGGAACCUGGUGUUGGAAAGACAGCUAUUGCUGAAGGUCUCGCCCAACGGAUUGCAAAUGGUGAUGUCCCUGAAACCAUAGAGGGAAAGCAGGUUAUAACCCUAGAUAUGGGUCUACUUGUUGCUGGAUCUAAAUAUCGUGGAGAAUUUGAGGAGAGAUUAAAUAAACUAAUGGAGGAAAUCAAACAAAGUGAUGAAAUAAUACUUUUCAUUGAUGAAGUGCACACUCUCAUUGGAGCAGAGCAGCUGAAGGGGUAAUUGAUGCGGCAAACAUAUUGAAAUAAUAUCUUUGCUUAAAGAUAUUCUAACUUCGGACAAUCUAGCUGAAGUUAAGCCGAAGAAACACACAAAGAGGGAUAAGUUUGGCAAAAUUUUUAAAGAAGUAGAUCAAAAUUCUGGUGUUAAUAAAAUGGCUGUUAAAGCAUGGAACUCCAUGAGUAAUGAAGAUAAACAACAUUAUUUGGAUAAAGCAGCUAAGCGCAAGGCAAAACAUGAGAAACUUGAGAAAAAAGGCUGACCCUGGGAUUGGUGGAAUGCUUCAUAUUAUAAGGACAAAAAGUUGAAUACUGUAAAAGGAUGCAAGAUUUGAUGAAGAAAGAGAAGGAAAAUAAAUUUGUAGAGUGUCAACAACUUGGAACAAAAAGAAUCAAAGCAGAAAACAAAAUGGAAGGCUGAUAAUAUGGUUGGAUGAAUAUGAACAAUUCAGUGGGAUAUUUUAUAGAGUACAUGUUACAUUGAAUGAAAACUUGUAAUCAUUUUAGUAUGACAUUCAAAUUGUGUUGCAUAGUUCUAAUUGUGUUGCAUAUUUCAUUUUCAUUAUGCAAGAAUACGAGGUGAAGGGGGAAAUUGUAGAGAAUGUAAUUCAAACUUGUUAUUAAAACUUGUAUAUGAUAUUGGUUAAUUCUAAUCUGAAUGAAGUUUAAGUGAAGACAAAUUUGGGA